rfam:Triticum aestivum genome assembly, contig: Triticum_aestivum_CS42_TGACv1_scaffold_049795_1BS
UAAGUACUCCCUCCGUUUGAAAAUACUUGUCGGAGAAAUAGAUGAAAAUGAAUGUAUUUAGAACUAAAAUAUGUUUAGAUACAUUCAUUUUUCUGACAAGUAUUUCCGGACGGAGGGAGUACAAC